rnacentral:rRNA from 1 species
AUUGAACGCUGGCGGCAGGCCUAACACAUGCAAGUCGAACGAGUGGCGGACGGGUGAGUAAUGUCUGGGAAACUGCCCGAUGGAGGGGGAUAACUACUGGAAACGGUAGCUAAUACCGCAUACCAUCGGAUGUGCCCAGAUGGGAUUAGCUAGUAGGUGGGGUAACGGCUCACCUAGGCGACGAUCCCUAGCUGGUCUGAGAGGGUGACCGGCCACAUUGGGACUGAGAUACGGCCCAGACUCCUACGGGAGGCAGCAGUGGGGGAUAUUGCACAAUGGGCGAAAGCCUGAUGCAGCGACGCCGCGUGGGGGAUGAAGGCUUUCGGGUUGUAAAGUACUUUCAGCGGGGAGGCGUUACCCGCAGAAGAAGCACCGGCUAACUCCGUGCCAGCAGCCGCGGUAAUAC